AAUGUAAGCUUAUUCUACUUGCUGACUACCAAAUGUAAGCAUAUAAUACUUACAUGUGUUAGUUAAGCAAUGUGUCAAUAAUUUUAAGUUAAGUAACUUCACAUUAUUAAGUUUUAGUCAUGUUCGCAAUGCAUUAUGGGAAAGAGAAGGAUCUUUUAAUGUGCCGCAGCCACGUUUCCAGCUCGCAAUUUCUCAGUCGGACGCAACCCCACUUUGAACGACGGACUUGCACCCUUUCACCGCGCUGUCUACGCUUCCAAAGGAAGGACGCUGCACGGCUGCCUUAUCUACUGAAUCUGAAUGGCAAACGCGACCCACCAUCGGAGGGCCUCCACCGGCCUAGUGCCGGUGUCCUGGCGGUCGGUUCCUCCGAACUGCGGGUUCGACUCUGAUGGCCGCGAGGGUGUGCUGCGUGUCUCUUCCCGGGCCGGGCCGAUAUGAAGCGUGACCAAGACGCAUCGUCUGACUCGGGGGUCCCACCACGGGUCCCGCAGCGGGGUGGAGGUUCCAGGCUGAAACCUCCCCAGGUUUAUUGCGAGUUCAACAGAGUGGUGGGGAAAAAUCUCAAGGACAACUUCUUCGAUGCACUUGACCGUUUCUCUCCGAGCCUGAUGGACCUCUUUAGGAAGAAGAAGGG